rnacentral:rRNA from 1 species
CAGCCGCCACGGUAAUACGUAGGUCCCGAGCGUUGUCCGAAUUUAUUGGGCGUAAAGCGAGCGCAGGCGGUUAGAUAAGUCUGAAGUUAAAGGCUGUGGCUUAACCAUAGUACGCUUUGGAAACUGUUUAACUUGAGUGCAAGAGGGGAGAGUGGAAUUCCAUGUGUAGCGGUGAAAUGCGUAGAUGUAUGGAGGAACACCGGUGGCGAAAGCGGCUCUCUGGCUUGUAACUGGCGCUGAGGCUCGAAAGCGUGGGGAGCAAACAGGAUUAGAUACCCGUGUAGUCCCUGUCUCUUAUACA